rnacentral:rRNA from 1 species
UACGUAGGGUGCGAGCGUUAAUCGGAAUUACUGGGCGUAAAGCGUGCGCAGGCGGUUCGUUGUGUCUGCUGUGAAAUCCCCGGGCUCAACCUGGGAAUGGCAGUGGAAACUGGCGAGCUUGAGUGUGGCAGAGGGGGGUGGAAUUCCGCGUGUAGCAGUGAAAUGCGUAGAUAUCGUAAGGAAGACCAGUGGCGAAGGCGGGUCUCUGGACAGUUCCUGACGCUGAGGCACGAAGGUCAGGGGAGCAAACGGG